AAACCCAGACCGGACCGGCCGGUUCAACCGGUUUGAACCGGUGACCGGACCAGGUUCCGGUCCGGUUGACCCUCUUAAACCGGCCAAGUGUAAAAACCGGGGUAUUUAUUGAAAACCGGUGAAACCCACGGUUAAACCGGUGAACCGGUUGACUCGUUUACGGGUUGAUCGAACCGGGACGGUUUGCUUGUAUAUAUAUAAUUUUUUUUUUUCAGAUCUAGCUUUAUUUUUGUUUGUUGAUCUUUAGAUUCAGAGAGCAGCGGCUAGGGCUUCUUCACUUCUUCACACAGCACAGAUUCGCACCGUUACAAGCCUCCAGGACGACAUCAAUUUCUCUAUUUUUUUCCGCCAUUAACGAAUCAAUUUCCAGCCUCCCCAAGUAUUAUUUUGAUGGAUCUUUGAUCUUUUUCUUUAUUUUUUAGAAAUUUUGGGUCUACACUUGAAUCAAAAUCAACACUUGAAUCUCCGAUCUAUCUACACUUGAAGAAGGCUCUGUUUUUUUUUUUUUAGAGAGGAGAAGAAGAAGGCUCUGUUUAGAAAUCAACUUUUGAUAAAAAAAAAAUAAUAAUAAUAA